rnacentral:rRNA from 1 species
GACGAACGCUGGCGGCAUACUUAACACAUGCAAGUCGAACGGACGACCAUGGACAGAAUCUUCGGAGGACGAUCAUGGAAGUUAGUGGCGGACGGGUGAGUAAACGCGUGGGUAACCUGCCCUUUAAAUUGGGACAACAGUUGGAAACGACUGCUAAUACCGAAUGUGACGUUCGGGAGGCAUCUCCUGAACGGGAAAGAUGGCUGAGCUUGAUGCUAUCGUUAAAGGAUGGACCCGCGUCUGAUUAGCUAGUUGGAAGGGUAACGGCCUACCAAGGCGACGAUCAGUAGCCGACCUGAGAGGGUGACCGGCCACAUUGGGACUGAGACACGGCCCAGACUCCUACGGGAGGCAGCAGUGGGGAAUUUUCCGCAAUGGGCGAAAAGCCUGACGGAGCAAUGCCGCGUGAAUGAAGAAGGUCUUCGGAUCGUAAAGUUCUGUCAUCAGGGAAGAACAGUAGUGGUGUGAAUAAUGCCAAUUGCCUGACGGUACCUGAGGAGGAAGCCACGGC